rnacentral:rRNA from 1 species
AUUGAUGCCUCGGCUCAUGCAAGAGCGCACAUCGGGGCACAGGCGAUAGAGUGUGAACCGUGCCCUAAAAAUGUAUCGAGAACGGGCCCCGUAGCGGGGGAUAACCUUUCGAAAGCGUAGCUAAUACCGCAUACGCCCUUUGGGGGAAAGCGGGGGACCUUCGGGCCUCGCACUAUUGGAGCGGCCGAUAUCGGAUUAGCUAGUUGGUGGGGUAAAGGCCUACCAAGGCGACGAUCCGUAGCUGGUUUGAGAGGACGACCAGCCACACUGGGACUGAGACACGGCCCAGACUCCUACGGGAGGCAGCAGUGGGGAAUUUUGGACAAUGGGGGCAACCCUGAUCCAGCCAUCCCGCGUGUGCGAUGAAGGCCUUCGGGUUGUAAAGCACUUUUGGCAGGAAAGAAACGGCCCUGGUUAAUACCUGGGGCAACUGACGGUACCUGCAGAAUAAGCACCGGCUAACUACGUGCCAGCAGCCGCGGUAAUACGUAGGGUGCAAGCGUUAAUCGGAAUUACUGGGCGUAAAGCGUGCGCAGGCGGUUCGGAAAGAAAGAUGUGAAAUCCCAGGGCUUAACCUUGGAACUGCAUUUUUAACUACCGGGCUAGAGUGUGUCAGAGGGAGGUGGAAUUCCGCGUGUACCAGUGAAAUGCGUAGAGAUGCGGAGGAACACCGAUGGCGAAGGCAGCCUCCUGGGAUAACACUGACGCUCAUGCACGAAAGCGUGGGGAGCAAACAGGAUUAAAUACCCUGGUAGUCCACGCCCUAAACGAUGUCAACUAGCUGUUGGGGGCUUCGGCCCUUGGUAGCGCAGCUAACGCGUGAAGUUGACCGCCUGGAAAGUACGGUCGCAAGAUUAAAACUCAGAGGAAUUGACGGGGACCCGCACAACCGGGGGAGAGGGGAUUAGUUCGAUGCAACG